rnacentral:rRNA from 1 species
CGCUUAGGCGUGUGACUGCGUACCUUUUGUAUAAUGGGUCAGCGACUUAUAUUCUGUAGCAAGGUUAACCGAAUAGGGGAGCCGAAGGGAAACCGAGUCUUAACUGGGCGUUAAGUUGCAGGGUAUAGACCCGAAACCCGGUGAUCUAGCCAUGGGCAGGUUGAAGGUUGGGUAACACUAACUGGAGGACCGAACCGACUAAUGUUGAAAAAUUAGCGGAUGACUUGUGGCUGGGGGUGAAAGGCCAAUCAAACCGGGAGAUAGCUGGUUCUCCCCGAAAGCUAUUUAGGUAGCGCCUCGUGAAUUCAUCUCCGGGGGUAGAGCACUGUUUCGGCAAGGGGGUCAUCCCGACUUACCAACCCGAUGCAAACUGCGAAUACCGGAGAAUGUUAUCACGGGAGACACACGGCGGGUGCUAACGUCCGUCGUGAAGAGGGAAACAACCCAGACCGCCAGCUAAGGUCCCAAAGUCAUGGUUAAGUGGGAAACGAUGUGGGAAGGCCCAGACAGCCAGGAUGUUGGCUUAGAAGCAGCCAUCAUUUAAAGAAAGCGUAAUAGCUCACUGGUCGAGUCGGCCUGCGCGGAAGAUGUAACGGGGCUAAACCAUGCACCGAAGCUGCGGCAGCGACGCUUAUGCGUUGUUGGGUAGGGGAGCGUUCUGUAAGCCUGUGAAGGUGUGCUGUGAGGCAUGCUGGAGGUAUCAGAAGUGCGAAUGCUGACAUAAGUAACGAUAAAGCGGGUGAAAAGCCCGCUCGCCGGAAGACCAAGGGUUCCUGUCCAACGUUAAUCGGGGCAGGGUGAGUCGACCCCUAAGGCGAGGCCGAAAGGCGUAGUCGAUGGGAAACAGGUUAAUAUUCCUGUACUUGGUGUUACUGCGAAGGGGGGACGGAGAAGGCUAUGUUGGCCGGGCGACGGUUGUCCCGGUUUAAGCGUGUAGGCUGGUUUUCCAGGCAAAUCCGGAAAAUCAAGGCUGAGGCGUGAUGACGAGGCACUACGGUGCUGAAGCAACAAAUGCCCUGCUUCCAGGAAAAGCCUCUAAGCAUCAGGUAACAUCAAAUCGUACCCCAAACCGACACAGGUGGUCAGGUAGAGAAUACCAAGGCGCUUGAGAGAACUCGGGUGAAGGAACUAGGCAAAAUGGUGCCGUAACUUCGGGAGAAGGCACGCUGAUAUGUAGGUGAAGUCCCUCGCGGAUGGAGCUGAAAUCAGUCGAAGAUACCAGCUGGCUGCAACUGUUUAUUAAAAACACAGCACUGUGCAAACACGAAAGUGGACGUAUACGGUGUGACGCCUGCCCGGUGCCGGAAGGUUAAUUGAUGGGGUCAGCGCAAGCGAAGCUCUUGAUCGAAGCCCCGGUAAACGGCGGCCGUAACUAUAACGGUCCUAAGGUAGCGAAAUUCCUUGUCGGGUAAGUUCCGACCUGCACGAAUGGCGUAAUGAUGGCCAGGCUGUCUCCACCCGAGACUCAGUGAAAUUGAACUCGCUGUGAAGAUGCAGUGUACCCGCGGCAAGACGGAAAGACCCCGUGAACCUUUACUAUAGCUUGACACUGAACAUUGAGCCUUGAUGUGUAGGAUAGGUGGGAGGCUUAGAAGUGUGGACGCCAGUCUGCAUGGAGCCGACCUUGAAAUACCACCCUUUAAUGUUUGAUGUUCUAACG